rnacentral:rRNA from 1 species
CUAAGAAUAUUCCGCAAUGGACGAAAGUCUGACGGAGCGACGCCGCGUGGAUGAAGAAGGCCGAAGGGUUGUAAAGUUCUUUUGUUGGGGAAGAAUAACCAUGGGAGGGAAUGCCCGUGGGAUGACAUGAACCGACGAAUAAGCCCCGGCUAACUACGUGCCAGCAGCCGCGGUAAUACGGAGGGUGCAAGCGUUAAUCGGAAUCACUGGGCGUAAAGCGCGCGUAGGCGGCCUUUUAAGUCGGACGUGAAAGCCCUCGGCUCAACCGGGGAAUUGCGUUCGAUACUGGGAGGCUUGAGUCCUGGAGAGGGUGGCGGAAUUCCGGGUGUAGGAGUGAAAUCCGUAGAUAUCCGGAGGAACACCGGUGGCGAAGGCGGCCACCUGGACAGGUACUGACGCUGA